rnacentral:rRNA from 1 species
GACGAACGCUGGCGGCGUGCUUAACACAUGCAAGUCGAACGAUGAAGCCCAGCUUGCUGGGUGGAUUAGUGGCGAACGGGUGAGUAACACGUGAGUAACCUGCCCCUGACUCUGGGAUAAGCGUUGGAAACGACGUCUAAUACUGGAUAUGACUACUGGUCGCAUGGUCUGGUGGUGGAAAGAUUUUUUGGUUGGGGAUGGACUCGCGGCCUAUCAGCUUGUUGGUGAGGUAAUGGCUCACCAAGGCGACGACGGGUAGCCGGCCUGAGAGGGUGACCGGCCACACUGGGACUGAGACACGGCCCAGACUCCUACGGGAGGCAGCAGUGGGGAAUAUUGCACAAUGGGCGAAAGCCUGAUGCAGCAACGCCGCGUGAGGGAUGACGGCCUUCGGGUUGUAAACCUCUUUUAGUAGGGAAGAAGCGAAAGUGACGGUACCUGCAGAAAAAGCACCGGCUAACUACGUGCCAGCAGCCGCGGUAAUACGUAGGGUGCAAGCGUUGUCCGGAAUUAUUGGGCGUAAAGAGCUCGUAGGCGGUUUGUCGCGUCUGCUGUGAAAUCCCGAGGCUCAACCUCGGGCUUGCAGUGGGUACGGGCAGACUAGAGUGCGGUAGGGGGAGAUUGGAAUUCCUGGUGUAGCGGUGGAAUGCGCAGAUAUCAGGAGGAACACCGAUGGCGAAGGCAGAUCUCUGGGCCGUAACUGACGCUGAGGAGCGAAAGCGUGGGGAGCGAACAGGAUUAGAUACCCUGGUAGUCCACGCCGUAAACGUUGGGCGCUAGAUGUAGGGACCUUUCCACGGUUUCUGUGUCGUAGCUAACGCAUUAAGCGCCCCGCCUGGGGAGUACGGCCGCAAGGCUAAAACUCAAAGGAAUUGACGGGGGCCCGCACAAGCGGCGGAGCAUGCGGAUUAAUUCGAUGCAACGCGAAGAACCUUACCAAGGCUUGACAUACACCGGAAACGGCCAGAGAUGGUCGCCCCCUUGUGGUCGGUGUACAGGUGGUGCAUGGUUGUCGUCAGCUCGUGUCGUGAGAUGUUGGGUUAAGUCCCGCAACGAGCGCAACCCUCGUUCUAUGUUGCCAGCGCGUUAUGGCGGGGACUCAUAGGAGACUGCCGGGGUCAACUCGGAGGAAGGUGGGGAUGACGUCAAAUCAUCAUGCCCCUUAUGUCUUGGGCUUCACGCAUGCUACAAUGGCCGGUACAAAGGGCUGCGAUACCGUAAGGUGGAGCGAAUCCCAAAAAGCCGGUCUCAGUUCGGAUUGAGGUCUGCAACUCGACCUCAUGAAGUCGGAGUCGCUAGUAAUCGCAGAUCAGCAACGCUGCGGUGAAUACGUUCCCGGGCCUUGUACACACCGCCCGUCAAGUCAUGAAAGUCGGUAACACCCGAAGCCGGUGGCCUAACCCUUGUGGAAGGAGCCGUCGAAGGUGGGAUCGGUGAUUAGGACUAAGUCGUAACAAGG